rnacentral:rRNA from 1 species
GACGAACGCUGGCGGCGUGCCUAAUACAUGCAAGUUGAGCGAUGAAGUUUGGUGCUUGCUCCAAUUUGAAGAGCAGCGAACGGGUGAGUAACGCGUGGGGAAUCUGCCUUUUAGCGGGGGACAACAUUUGGAAACGAAUGCUAAUACCGCAUAACAACUUUAAACAUAAGUUUUAAGUUUGAAAGAUGCAAUUGCAUCACUCAAAGAUGAUCCCGCGUUGUAUUAGCUAGUUGGUGAAGUAAAGGCUCACCAAGGCGAUGAUACAUAGCCGACCUGAGAGGGUGAUCGGCAACCUUGGGACUGAGAAACGGCCCAAACUCCUACGGGAGGCGGCAGUAGGGAAUCUUCGGAAAUGGACGAAAGUCUGGCCGGGAAACGCCGCGUGAGGGAAGAAGGUUUUCGGAUCGUAAAACUCGGUUGGUAGAGAAGAACGGUGGUGAGAGUGGAAAGCUCAUAAAGUGACGGUAACUACCCAGAAAGGGACGGCUAACUACGUG